CAGUUGAACGAAGGUUUCGUUUUCGGAUGGAACCUUAGUAGCGGACGGGUGAGUAACGCGUGAGCAACCAACCUUUGUGAGGGGGACAACAGCUGGAAACGGCUGCUAAUACCGCAUAAGGCCACGACCCCGAGUGGGGAUGUGGUAAAAGAUUUAUCGCACAAAGACGGGCUCGCGUCCCAUUAGCUAGUUGGUGAGGUAACGGCUCACCAAGGCGACGAUGGGUAGCCGACCUGAGAGGGUGAUCGGCCACACUGGAACUGAGACACGGUCCAGACUCCUACGGGAGGCAGCAGUGGGGAAUAUUGGGCAAUGGGCGCAAGCCUGACCCAGCAACGCCGCGUGAGGGAAGAAGGUCUUCGGAUUGUAAACCUCUGUCCUUGGGGACGAAAAAAAUGACGGUACCCGAGGAGGAAGCUCCGGCUAACUACGUGCCAGCAGCCGCGGUAAUACGUAGGGAGCGAGCGUUGUCCGGAAUUACUGGGCGUAAAGGGUGCGUAGGCGGCAUGGCAAGUCAGAUGUGAAAUCCCCGGGCUUAACUCGGGUGGUGCAUUUGAAACUGCUGUGCUUGAGUGCAGGAGAGGAAAGCGGAAUUCCUAGUGUAGCGGUGAAAUGCGUAGAUAUUAGGAGGAACACCAGUGGCGAAGGCGGCUUUCUGGACUGUAACUG
rnacentral:rRNA from 1 species